GAUGAACGCUGGCGGCGUGCCUAAUACAUGCAAGUCGAGCGAACAGACGAGGAGCUUGCUCCUCUGACGUUAGCGGCGGACGGGUGAGUAACACGUGGAUCACCUACCUAUAUUACUGGGAUAACUUCGUGAAACCGGAGCUAAUACCGGAUAAUAUAUUGAACCGCAUGGUUCAAUAGUUAAAGACGGUUUUGCUGUCACUUAUAGAUGGAUCCGCGCCGCAUUAGCUAGUUGGUAAGGUAACGGCUUACCAAGGCGACGAUGCGUAGCCGACCUGAGAGGGGGAUCAGGCACACUGGAACUGAGACACGGUCCAGAAUCCUACGGGAGGCAGCAGUAGGGAAUCUUCCGCAAUGGGCGAAAGCCUGACGGAGCAACGCCGCGUGAGUGAUGAAGGUCUUCGGAUCGUAAAACUCUGUUAUUAGGGAAGAACAAAUGUGUAAGUAACUAUGCACGUCUUGACGGUACCUAAUCAGAAAGCCACGGCUAACUACGUG
rnacentral:rRNA from 1 species